CGGCUCUCUCCUGCUCUGGCUGCCUGGCAUCGGCUGUCCAUCUCUGCCCCGGAGCCACUUCUCCAGACCAGUUUGUAGUGAUCCUGGGCAGCUGGUGUGGGCCAGCCCCAGUUAUGUACAGGUAUCCUGGGUGGCAAUGGCUGUUUGGAAGACCUGAAGUGCUUCAGGGAGUAAAGGACACAGGACUAACUUCAAUGUAAAUGACACAUGAAGGACAUCAGCCAUCAGUGGAAUGUGGAAGAAUUACCCAAGAACCACUAAAGAGGAGGAAAUAAAGACCAAAAGGAUUGAACUGAUUCAGGAACAAAACAAGUAAGGGUCUUUUCCCUACAGAGAGAAACUGGACACCAGAGAAUAAAACUAUCCCAAUCUG